AUGCUUGCUUCAGCAGCACGGACACUAAGAUUAGAAAGAUAAGGACAGGACUGGCUUGGCCCCUGGCACAAGGAUGCCAUACAAAUUUGUGAGGCGUUCUGUAAAAAA
ensembl:snRNA U6 U6 spliceosomal RNA